rnacentral:rRNA from 1 species
CAAUAGCGUAUAUUUAAGUUGUUGCAGUUAAAAGGCUCGUAGUUGGAUUUCGGGUGGGACGCAGCGGUCUCGCAUUGCGUUUGUACUGCUGCAGCCCUCCUUCUUGCCGGGGGCGGCCUCUCGGACUUCACUGUCUGGGGGUCAGAAUCGGCGAUGUUACUUUGAGUAAAUUAGAGUGUUCAAAGCAAGCUUACGCUCUGAAUAUAAUAGCAUGGGAUAACACGACAGGACUCUGGCCUAUCGUGUUGGUCUAUAGGACCAGAGUAAUGAUUAAGAGGGACAGUCGGGGGCAUUCGUAUUCCGUUGUCAGAGGUGAAAUUCUUGGAUUUACGGAAGACGGACAUCUGCGAAAGCAUUUGCCAAGGAUGUUUUCAUUGA